CCUACGGGUGGCAGCAGUGGGGAAUAUUGGGCAAUGGGCGCAAGCCUGACCCAGCAACGCCGCGUGAAGGAAGAAGGCUCUCGAGUUGUAAACUUCUUUUAUCAGGGACGAAGCAAGUGACGGUACCUGAUGAAUAAGCCACGGCUAACUACGUGCCAGCAGCCGCGGUAAUACGUAGGUGGCAAGCGUUAUCCGGAUUUACUGGGGGUAAAGGGCGUGUAGGGGGGAAAGCAAGUCAGAUGUGAAAACCAUGGGCUCAACCUGUGGCCUGCAUUUGAAACUGGUUUUCUUGAGUACUGGAGAGGCAGACGGAAUUCCUGGUGUAGCGGUGAAAUGCGUAGAUAUUAGGAAGAACACCAGUGGCGAAGGCGGCCUGCUGGACGAUGACUGACGUUGAGGCUCGAAAGCGUGGGGAGCAAACAGGAUUAGAUACCCUAGUAGUC
rnacentral:rRNA from 1 species